GUGCCUAAUACAUGCAAGUCGAGCGAACAGACGAGGAGCUUGCUCCUCUGACGUUAGCGGCGGACGGGUGAGUAACACGUGGAUAACCUACCUAUAAGACUGGGAUAACUUCGGGAAACCGGAGCUAAUACCGGAUAAUAUAUUGAACCGCAUGGUUCAAUAGUGAAAGACGGUUUUGCUGUCACUUAUAGAUGGAUCCGCGCCGCAUUAGCUAGUUGGUAAGGUAACGGCUUACCAAGGCGACGAUGCGUAGCCGACCUGAGAGGGUGAUCGGCCACACUGGAACUGAGACACGGUCCAGACUCCUACGGGAGGCAGCAGUAGGGUAUCUUCCGCAAUGGGCGAAAGCCUGACGGAGCAACGCCGCGUGAGUGAUGAAGGUCUUCGGAUCGUAAAACUCUGUUAUUAGGGAAGAACAAAUGUGUAAGUAACUAUGCACGUCUUGACGGUACCUAAUCAGAAAGCCACGGCUAACUACGUGCCAGCAGCCGCGGUAAUACGUAGGUGGCAAGCGUUAUCCGGAAUUAUUGGGCGUAAAGCGCGCGUAGGCGGUUUUUUAAGUCUGAUGUGAAAGCCCACGGCUCAACCGUGGAGGGUCAUUGGAAACUGGAAAACUUGAGUGCAGAAGAGGAAAGUGGAAUUCCAUGUGUAGCGGUGAAAUGCGCAGAGAUAUGGAGGAACACCAGUGGCGAAGGCGACUUUCUGGUCUGUAACUGACGCUGAUGUGCGAAAGCGUGGGGAUCAAACAGGAUUA
rnacentral:rRNA from 1 species